UCGGGCUCCGGCCCGAUCCUCCCACCCUUUGUGUACCUACCUCUGUUGCUUUGGCGGGCCGCGGUCCUCCGCGGCCGCCCCCCUCCCCGGGGGGGUGGCCAGCGCCCGCCAGAGGACCAUCAAACUCCAGUCAGUAAACGAUGCAGUCUGAAAAACAUUUAAUAAACUAAAACUUUCAACAACGGAUCUCUUGGUUCUGGCAUCGAUGAAGAACGCAGCGAAAUGCGAUAAGUAAUGUGAAUUGCAGAAUUCAGUGAAUCAUCGAAUCUUUGAACGCACAUUGCGCCCUUUGGUAUUCCGAAGGGCAUGCCUGUUCGAGCGUCAUUACAACCCUCAAGCUCUGCUUGGUAUUGGGCACCGUCCUUUGCGGGCGCGCCUCAAAGACCUCGGCGGUGGCGUCUUGCCUCAAGCGUAGUAGAACAUACAUCUCGCUUCGGAGCGCAGGGCGUCGCCCGCCGGACGAACCUUCUGAACUUUUCUCAAGGUUGACCUCGGAUCAGGUAGGGAUACCCGCUGAACUUAAGCAUAUCAAUAAGCGGAGGAAUCAUUAC
rnacentral:rRNA from 1 species